rnacentral:rRNA from 1 species
CAGUCGCCGCGGUAAUACGUAGGGCGCGAGCGUUGUCCGGAAUUAUUGGGCGUAAAGCGCGCGCAGGCGGAUCAGUUAGUCUGUCUUAAAAGUGCGGGGCUCAACCCCGUGAGGGGAUGGAAACUGUAUGCCUUGAGUGCAGGAGAGGAAAGCGGAAUUCCCAGUGUAGCGGUGAAAUGCGUAGAUAUUGGGAGGAACACCAGUGGCGAAGGCGGCUUUCUGGACUGUAACUGACGCUGAGGCUCGAAAGCCAGGGGAGCGAACGGGAUUAGAUACCCAGUAGUCCCUGUCUCUUAUACAA